rnacentral:lncRNA from 1 species
CCGCCGAGAGGGCGCCUUUCUCCCACUCCCAAAGGCUUCCGGUGUUUCCUGGGCUGGACCAGUUGGCCCUCAAGGCUCAGCUCAGGAAGCGGCACGAACCGGAAGCCGCAGGAGAAGGCCCCUCCGCGCAGCCCUCCCGGUCGCCCAAGUCUCCGCUUCAGGCGGGUCCCUCCGGAGGCAGGACGUUGCCCAAGGGCCCCGAGAGAGAGGAGAGGGCGGAGGGCCCCCCGUCGCCACAGUGGCUGAAGGAGCUGAGGUCCAGGAAGCGGCAGAGCCAGUACGAGGACCAGGUGUGACACACACACACACCCCACGGCCUGAAGAAGGGUGGAUCAUGGCCGACUUCUUCCGGAGACUUCCCCACGAUUGAUUUAUAAACUCCUUGUUCUGUGGGGAGGUGUUGUCGUAACCGUGCUUUCGGUCCC